CACGUAGGGCGCAAGCGUUGUCCGGAAUUAUUGGGCGUAAAGAGCUCGUAGGCGGUCUGUUGCGUCUGCUGUGAAAACUCGGGGCUCAACCCCGAGCCUGCAGUGGAUACGGGCAGACUAGAGGUAGGUAGGGGGAGAAUGGAAUUCCCGGUGUAGCGGUGAAAUGCGCAGAUAUCGGGAAGAACAUCAGUGGCGAAGGCGGUCUGCUGGGCCGUUGCUGACGCUGAGGCGCGACAGCGUGGGGGAGCAAACAGG
rnacentral:rRNA from 1 species